CCGAACUUCUCCAGGGAAAGAAUGAAUGGCCAUCUCAAGGUUAUAUAAGAGUUGAUAUUUGGGAUGGAAGGCAUUGUACCACAUUAGGGUUUAAAUAAAUAGGGUUUUUGUCAUGUCACAGGAAUUCUGCAAAGCAAAAAUGUUGCUUUAACGGCACAAAAUCCAUUCAGAGACAUUCAGGAGUAAGGACAUCAAGGAAGGUCUUGAGCAGAAGUUUUCCCACAGGGUGAAGUCUCAGGGACCGUGGAGUUUUCUGCUUGGUUCUGAAGACCUGAUCAUUGAAGCUUAAUCCAUUCUUCAUUCACUGAAAUGAAAUGCCAAUGCUCACUGCAUGACGAGGGAAUGAAGUCUUUGCUUUCACUAGAGGCAGGGGACUUUGAGAACAACAUAGGGGAGAUGGAGAAGAUUAAGCAAUCGUCUCAUUGGGUAACAGAGUCAAUAUCCGCAUCAGGGCUCAAGGGGUUCACACUAGCCCCUUGGA